AAAAUAAAUAAUGUAAAAGAAUUUUAAAAUCUAUAUUACACAAAGCAAAUUAAAAAAGGAUUCAUAUGAGUAAUUUUAAGAUAGAUAAUAUAUAUACAUACACAAAAGUGUAUGUCGAAACCAUCUUUCAAAUUUAAGGAAAAACGGGGAAUCGACUUUUAAAACCAAAUAUGGAGUCACCACAAAUCUUUUUAGUUUUAGGUGUGAUCGGAUCACCUAAAAAUUUGGUUAUUUUAAUAAAAUAUUUCUUUUUACUUAAACAACGAUUUUGGUCUUACGAAAAUAUGAGAAAACGGGUUCGGGAAUCAGUUACGCAUGAGGAAGGAUUAGCACCCUCACUACACCCAAAAUUGGUACCAAAUCGAUUAGGUACUGCCCUUAUGUCUAAGAUUUGAAAAUGUUUCUUUGAAAUAUGGUUCCUUUUAUAAACAUUUGAAUAGCCCAAGUUGGUCGCCAAAAUUCUCUUGUUUCAAAGGAAUACAUUAUCACUCCAGCACGAUAGGACACGAUCCUUUAUACCCUCGAAAACACGAUAAAUUUCGACUUCCAAAAAUUUAUAUGUUGAAAACUGCAAAAGGAUGCCCAAUUAUUUAGUCCAACGAAAAAAUCAAUGUAGCACCCCAAACCCGGCCCAGAAGUUAUGGCCGGAUCUGGCAUGCCACAUCAAAAACGUAAAAAAAAUUUCUAUUCUAAGUCCAGAAAAUCGUACUUGAUGUUCAAAAGAUUAAUUCAUUAAGGGUUAAAGUGAAUGGAAGCUGUGCACCAGGUAGGAAACCGGAAAAGAGGUGGUGAGUCUAUCGGACUGCUUAAGUACCAAGCUCCCUUCGGAUCCAAUCCUAGACAUGCAUACCGCCAUUGCCACACCUUAACGUCAUGGAUAUUUCUAGGAAACCGAUUCGAUUAAGUCAUUUUUAGGAAAAGUGAUUAAUUUUGGAAAAUACUUUCAUUACGGAAGCUUUGCUUGUUGUUGUGUUAUUUUGAAAUCAACUGUUGUUUUUGAAAACGCGCCCUAAAGCUAUCCAAUUUCAACAGUUAAAAUAAGUAUUACCUAUCUUAGUAAUACAUAUUAAAAACCAUCAAAAAUAAAUAAGCGGCCUUAUUACAUUUAAAAGCCCAAAACCUCAAACGUAAUUAAAAGGAUGUCAAGUUCACCAGAAGAAAAUCAAACUUUCAGAACGGGUGGCCACUCCGAAUUCCCUCACAGCUCCAAGCCCACUAUGGUUGGGGAUUUCCUGCGUGGAUGAAAAUAAAAGGGGUGAGUUUGGGGAAACUCAGUGUGUAAAAUAACCCAACCAUAGCCUAUAUCAGCUCAAACCACAGAAAUAGAAUAAGUUGGCCUUAGCCCAGAACAGAAUUCAGAAUAAAGCCCAUAGGCCCAUAACAGAACAGAACAGAUAUUACAUGUUUAUGCAGAAACCCAACCAUAUCCAACCGUAUACACCCCCGUACCAACCUUACACCGUGUGGGGAGACAACUCGACCCACCCAACCGCUACACACCACAGAAUUUGCAGCAUGGCUGCCAGAACAGAUAAUGUGACAGAGUCACCAGAUACAGAUAAUCGUGGCAGAGCCACCAGAACAGAUAUAUGUGGCAGAGCCACCAUAUCAGAUAUUUGUGGCAGAGCCACCAGAUCAGAUAUUUGUGGCAUAGCCACCAGAACGCUUCCUCCAUAAUAUAACCCAUGUCCCCAUGCAGCAGAUAUAUAAUCAUGGCAUACAUCAUACAGAAUCAGAUCGUCAUGCUUUUCAGUCAAAAUUAACCCUAGGGGUAUAACGGUAAUUUUGCACCUAGGGGUAUAACAGUAAUUUUCCAUACAUAGGGGUAUUAUAGUAAUUUAGCUACUUUUAGAGUUUUCAUGCAUAUCCUAACUAUUUACGUACUAUCAGAACACUUACCGCGCAUACUUACCGAAUUGGGCCCGUUGACCCAUGAACCCGAUCUUUGGCCCAUUAAGCCCAAAUUAUCAAAAUGUACGAAAUCGCGCGUACUUCAGUUUAUUACUUUAGAUUACCAAAUAUACAAACCCAACUAUUUUACGAGCAUUCGCACACUCGCAAAUUCCCAAAAUACCGACUUUUCGGCAUUUCGGCUUUUCGGCUUUUGCCAAUCUAGUCUAUGAGAGGGUGUCAGUUACACACCUGUUUGCGACGAUAUGCUGACGAGAUCCACACACGAACUGCCUACAAUUGGAUUACUAACACAUUAAUCUAACUGUUCAAAUACGAACUACGUAUUAACCCCUUACAAUAUUCGGCCAACCACACCUACAGAUCAUAGUAAGCUUAUAAGAAAUCAAUAAGCAACUCAUUAACAAAUUUUUGUCAAUGUUUACCACAUAAUCAUAAUUUCACUGCAAGCUGUCUUCCUGAGCAACAGUCACUAAAUCAUUUAUAACUGGAGCUACGAAACUCCAAAUCAAGUUCCGUUAAUUUUCCUUGAAAAUAGACUCAUAUAUCUUCUAUCCAUAAAAUUUUCAGAAUUUUUGGUUUAGCCAAUCAAUACCAGAUUUUUCUCAAAGUUUCCCAUGUUUCACUGUUUGACUAAUCUGACCACCCUUCAUUACGAAUCAAAUUUCUCAUUGUACAGAAUUCAAAAUAUGUUCUUGUUUAUUUCAUUAGAAACUAGACUCAAUAAGCUUUAAUUACAUAAUUUAUUCAGCUUCUAAUUCUUCUCCCACAAUUUGUGGUGAUUUUCCAAAGUCACGUUACUACUGCUGUCCCAAGCAGAUUUAUUACCAAAUCACUCUUUCACACAUACCUUGCAUGCAUGUUAUUUAAACAUGUAUAUCACCAAUCAAUCAUCACAUAUCUAUGAUUUUACUUAAGUAUAAUCUCCAUUUCAUCAUUUUAAAAAACAACAUGUUAGCUGAUUUUUCCCUUUAACAUCUAAGGCACAUGCAUGCUCAUUUGUUUGGCUCAACUUCACCUAUCUUCCAUUUUUCAUCAAAAGAACAUGAAACAACAACCAUUUCCUUCAUUUUAAUUCAUGACUAAAUGCUCACAACACAACUAAAAAUCAAAAUAUACUUCAAGAGUUAAGGUAGAAUCAAGAACUCAUGAACCUCAAAAUAGAAGCAAGGUACCAAGAACUUACCUUCAAUUUUCCUCCUCCUAAUGACCAAAUACUCAAGAGCUUUCUCCUCUCCUUUCUCUUCUCUAACUUUCAUCUAUGAUGAACAAAGAUGGACAAAACUUUGUUCUUUUCACCCCUUUUUCUUUUAAUAAAACUUCAUAUUUCAUCCAUUUAAUUCUUUAAUACAAAAGACAUGAAAUUCUUAUCAUGAAACAUUUA
rnacentral:lncRNA from 1 species